UGGGGUGUAGCUCAGCGGUAGAGCACUUGCUUAACAGGCACAAAGUCCUGGGUUCACUCCCCAGCACUGUAA
rnacentral:tRNA from 1 species